rnacentral:rRNA from 1 species
GAUGAACGCUGACAGAAUGCUUAACACAUGCAAGUCAACUUGAACUUCGGUUUGGGUGGCGGACGGGUUAGUAACGCGUAAAGAACUUGCCUCUCAGAUAGGGACAACAUUUGGAAACGAAUGCUAAUACCUGAUAUUAUGAUUUUAGGGCAUCCUAGGAUUAUGAAAGUUAUAUGCGCUGGGAGGGAGCUUUGCGUCCCAUUAGCUAGUUGGAGAGGUAACGGCUCACCAAGGCGGUGAUGGGUAGCCGGCCUGAGAGGGUGGAUGGCCACAAGGGGACGGAGACACGGCCGGUACACACACGGGAGGGAGGAGUGGGGAGUGUUUAUUGAUGGACCAAGAGUAUGAUCAUGCAGUUAUGUGUCGACGAUGAAGUAUUUCGGAAUGUAAAGUACUUUCAGUUGGGAAGAAAAAAAUGACGGUACCGGCAGAAGAAGCGACGGCUAAAUACGUG